rnacentral:tRNA from 1 species
UCUGAACUUCCAUUAAUUUCAUAUUUCUAACGUGGCAGAUUAGUGCAAUGAAUUUAAGCUUCAUAUAUAAAGAUUAUUCUUUUAUUAGAAA